rnacentral:rRNA from 1 species
UCCAGAUUCCUACGGGAGGCAGCAGUGGGGAAUAUUGCACAAUGGGGGAAACCCUGAUGCAGCAACGCCGCGUGAGUGAAGAAGUAUUUCGGUAUGUAAAGCUCUAUCAGCAGGGAAGAAGAAAGACGGUACCUGACUAAGAAGCCCCGGCUAACUACGUGCCAGCAGCCGCGGUAAUACGUAGGGGGCAAGCGUUAUCCGGAUUUACUGGGUGUAAAGGGAGCGUAGACGGCCAAGCAAGCCAGGGGUGAAAGCCCGGGGCCCAACCCCGGGACUGCCCUUGGAACUGCUUGGCUGGAGUGCGGGAGGGGCAGGCGGAAUUCCUGGUGUAGCGGUGAAAUGCGUAGAUAUCAGGAGGAACACCGGCGGCGAAGGCGGCCUGCUGGACCGCUACUGACGUUGAGGCUCGAAAGCGUGGGGAGCAAACAGGAUUAGAUACCCGUGUA